UACGUAGGGGGCAAGCGUUGUCCGGAUUUAUUGGGCGUAAAGAGCGUGUAGGCGGCCUGACAGGUCUGCUGUGAAAACUCGAGGCUCAACCUCGAGAUGUCGGCGGAAACCACCUGGCUAGAGUCCGGAAGAGGAGAGUGGAAUUCCCGGUGUAGCGGUGAAAUGCGCAGAUAUCGGGAAGAACACCCGUGGCGAAGGCGGCUCUCUGGGACGGUACUGACGCUGAGCACGCGAAAGCGUGGGGAGCGAACAGG
rnacentral:rRNA from 1 species